UGAAUUCUGUUCUUCUCUGAAUAUUGAUCCUUCUAUGUUCUCUGUAUCUUGAAUUACCUUCUUGAUUCUCACCGUAACUGGAACCACCGGCAUCACUCUCUCUCUCAGUUUUUCCUUUUACUUUACCCCCAAAAUGGGUUUAUGUGCAGCUGUUAUAUUGAGGGACUGAAUUAGGCAUUGACAGAAAGUGAGUGGACAAGAACGCAUGACCGGUCACAUGAUUCCGUUUCACAUUGCAUAAAUUCAUCUCGAGUUCCGGACUGGUUACUGUAAUAUCAUAAGAACUAUAAAAGAAGCUUCUGCAUCAGAAGGGAGACUGUCUGGUUUCGUGCUCUUCUGUGUAUUCAACAAAUGCCUGCACAUUGAUACAAAGUGCUUCAAUGGAGGUAAGUUGCCAUGUCGAUGACCAUGAAGAGAACAAUAUGAAUAUGGACAAAUUUUCACAGCUGAGAUUCCUCCAGAUUCAUUUCCUCCCAUUUGCAGCCCAAUACCGGAGAAAACUUUUUAAGAGUUGAAGAACAUGUAGCUCUGACAACACUCAAGUCUAAAUCUUCAGAAAAUUCUGAGCAUUUCUUGGAGGGCCUCUUUGGUUUCAGACUUGCUGUUUUUGUUAAGAACCUCUGAGGUCUCAGAGUUGUUGAUCUUUUAAAAACUCUUGCCGAGGAAUCUGAUUUUGACUUUGCUAUUUUUGAAUUUCUUCUAUUCUGAUCAUUGUUAUGAAUACUAGAUUCAGGAUUAUUCAGACUUGAAUGAAGAUGUGCCUUUGAA